CUCAGAUCAUGUAAGAUUUUAAUGAUCGAACAGAUCAAAAUUUUAAACUUUUGCAUUUAAAUUUUAUCUUAAUCCAACAUCGAGGUCGCAAACUUUUUUUUUUAUUUGAACUAAAAAAAAAUAUUACGCUGUUAUCCCUAAGGUAAUUUUUUCUUAUAAUCAUUAUUAAUGGAUCAUUUAAUCAUUUAUUUAUGUUUAAUUUUUAAAAAAAGUUAAUUUAAUUUUUCUAUCACCCCAAUAUAAUAAUUAAUUUUAUUUCAAUAAAAAUUUUUAUAUAAUUUUAAAAUAAAAAUAAAUAUAAAACUCUAUAGGGUCUUCUCGUCUUUUAAAAUUAAUUUAGCUUUUUAACUAAAAAAUAAACUUCUAAAAAUAAAUAAGAGACAGUUUAUAUUUCAUCAAAUCUUUCAUACAAGUUUUCAAUUAAAAAACUAGUGAUUAUGCUACCUUUGUACAGUCAUUAUACUGCAGCCCUUUAAUUAUUAUCAGUGGGCAGAUUAGACCUUAAAUUAUAUUCAAAAAGACAUGUUUUUG
rnacentral:rRNA from 2 species